GGUCAGAACGAACGCUGGCGGCAUGGAUUAGGCAUGCAAGUUGAACGAGCUCCUUCGGGAGUGAGUAGCGGAAGGGUGAGGAACGCGUGAGUAAUCUGCCCCCCAGUUGGGAAUAACAGUUGGAAACGACUGCUAAUACCGAAUGUGGCUUAAGCUUCGCCUGGAGCUUUGGCUAAAGAUUUAUCGCUGGGGGAUGAGCUCGCGUCCCAUUAGCUAGUUGGUGAGGUAACGGCUCACCAAGGCGACGAUGGGUAGCUGGUCUGAGAGGAUGGUCAGCCACACUGGGACUGAGACACUGCCCAGACUCCUACGGGAGGCUGCAGUCGAGAAUCUUGGGCAAUGCGCGAAAAAGCGUGACCCAGCAAUGCCGCGUGUAUGAUGAAGGCCCUCGGGUCGUAAAGUACUGUCUCCCGUGACGAAAUUUGACGGUAGCGGGGAAGGAAGCCACGGCUAACUACGUGCCAGCCGCGGC
rnacentral:rRNA from 1 species